UACAGAGGUCUCAAGCGUUGUUCGGAUUCAUUGGGCGUAAAGGGUGUGUAGGUGGCGCCGUAAGUCGGGUGUGAAAUUUCGGAGCUUAACUCCGAAACUGCAUUCGAUACUGCGGUGCUUGAGGACUGGAGAGGAGACUGGAAUUCAUGGUGUAGCAGUGAAAUGCGUAGAGAUCAUGAGGAACACCAGUGGCGAAGGCGGCUCACUGGCCCGGUACUGACGCUGAGGUGCGAAAGCGUGGGGAGCAAACAGG
rnacentral:rRNA from 1 species